AACGAACGCUGGCGGCAUGCCUAACACAUGCAAGUCGAACGAUUGCCUUCGGGUGAUAGUGGCGCACGGGUGCGUAACGCGUGGGAAUCUGCCCUUAGGUUCGGAAUAACAGCUGGAAACGGCUGCUAAUACCGGAUGAUAUCGCGAGAUCAAAGAUUUAUCGCCUGAGGAUGAGCCCGCGUUGGAUUAGUUAGUUGGUGGGGUAAAGGCCUACCAAGCCGACGAUCCAUAGCUGGUCUGAGAGGAUGAUCAGCCACACUGGGACUGAGACACGGCCCAGACUCCUACGGGAGGCAGCAGUGGGGAAUAUUGGACAAUGGGCGCAAGCCUGAUCCAGCAAUGCCGCGUGAGUGAUGAAGGCCCUAGGGUUGUAAAGCUCUUUUACCCGGGAAGAUAAUGACUGUACCGGGAGAAUAAGCCCCGGCUAACUCCGUG
rnacentral:rRNA from 1 species